UAGUUCAAGAUUCGGAUCCAUUUCUAGUAUCGGACUGUACAUUCUAGAUAUAUCGUCCACCAAAGAGAUUCCAUGACAGCAUUAUGAAACAAAGCAGAAUGAUGGAUCAUAAAGAAUAAUUCAAAUUUAGAAAUGAUGUAGACAUUUUUUUGGUCCAAAACAACAACUGUCAGAAUUCGGUCAAUUAAAUUAAAAUAAUGAGUAUUAAAUUAUUGUGGAAUUGUGCUAGAAUAAUCUUGAUUUCAGGUUUAUCCUUCGGCGUUUAACAUACGCAUGUAAGACGAUACAUCACGGGACACGUAAAUUGGGAAAGCUACACAACAGUGCGGGCAGCCGCACAUGAUUUGCGUGUCCCUGCUGAGUCUAUUAAGUGUAGCCACACUGAUCGCGUGCACGCCCUUCUGCAGUCGCGGUCUGUUCAGCCGGAGGUGUACCUGCCCCGAACUCCCUAUAUGCCCCGACUGCGGGACGCCUUAUUGAACAACGUGUAAAUUUAAAACUAUACCUUAUCAUAACUAACGCAUUAAUUAAACCUAAGACUCUUUGUGAGCACAAGUCGUUAUAUAGGGAGACUAGUUCUUUAUUUGUUACCGCUGUGCAUAUACAAUAUUCAGUCUCGAAAGUACUGACAAUAAUAUUUAAGGAUUAUAAUAUUAUUAUAUAACUGAUAUCAGUCCCAUUAAUUACCCCCCACUUUUUUCUACUUGUUUACAUUACCCUUUGAAUUACCAGCCAGUAUUUAAGUCACUUGAAAAUUUUCUACCUGUGCUCUCACUAUAAAUUAUAUAUUUUUUUAUGUUAAUUGUAGUGCAAAUGUCACAAUAUAUCUGUUAAAAUGAUUUGCUUGAGUUGUGCCACGGCGUUGGCCGCUGUGGCGCUCAUAGCUUGCGGGCCGAUAGCUUGCGAGAGAUUCCUUAAAUGUUUCCUUAAAUCCGGCAAACGAUAGUACCGUACAUAUAAACUCAUAUACAACGCCUAUAUACGUCUGUGAUACUAGAUACUUUGUCACAUAUAUACAUACAUAUAUAUAUAAUGAUCUGUCUAUCCGCCGCGACAGCCCUGGCGGCGGCGGGCAUCAUAGUAGCCGGGCCGAUGAUAUGCGAGCGGUUUCUGAACUGUUUUAAAAAAACCAAAAAGUGAACAUCGCACAUGUGGCUUUGAAUAAAAUGUUUUUUAUCAGUAAAA